UACGUAGGGGGCAAGCGUUGUCCGGAUUUAUUGGGCGUAAAGAGCGUGUAGGCGGUCAGGUAGGUCCGUUGUGAAAACUCGAGGCUCAACCUCGAGACGCCGAUGGAAACCAUCUGACUAGAGUCCGGAAGAGGAGAGUGGAAUUUCCGGUGUAGCGGUGAAAUGCGUAGAUAUCGGAAGGAACAUCAGUGGCGAAAGCGACUUCCUGGACCAAUACUGACGCUCAUGUGCGAAAGCGUGGGGAGCAAACAGG
rnacentral:rRNA from 1 species